rnacentral:miRNA from 1 species
UGGGUGGGAGGUGUGGUAGCU